ACGGAGGGUGCGAGCGUUAAUCGGAAUCACUGGGCGUAAAGCGCACGUAGGCGGUGUCGUAAGUCGGAUGUGAAAGCCCUCGGCUCAACCGGGGAACUGCAUUCGAUACUGCGACGCUUGAGUGCCGUAGAGGGUGGCGGAAUUCCAGGUGUAGGAGUGAAAUGCGUAGAGAUCUGGAGGAAUACCGGUGGCGAAGGCGGCCACCUGGCCGAGAACUGACGCUCAGGUGCGAAAGCGUGGGGAUCAAACAG
rnacentral:rRNA from 1 species